rnacentral:rRNA from 1 species
AACGAACGCUGGCGGCACGUUUUAAGCAUGCAAGUCGAAUGGCAGCAGGGGCAACUCUGUGAGAAUGGCGAACGGGUGAGUAACACGUAGGUGAUCUGCCCUGGGGAUGGGGAUAGCCUGUGGAAACACAGGGUAAUACCGAAUACGCAUUACUGGUUAUGACUGGUAAUGGAAAGGCGCUACGGCGCCGUCCUAGGAGGAGCCUGCGGCUGAUUAGCUAGUUGGUGGGGUAAGAGCCUACCAAGGCGACGAUCAGUAGCCGGCCUGAGAGGGUGUACGGCCACACUGGGACUGAGACACGGCCCAGACUCCUACGGGAGGCAGCAGCUAAGAAUCUUCCGCAAUGGGCGAAAGCCUGACGGAGCGAUGCCGCGUGAUCGAUGAAGGUCGAGAGAUUGUAAAGAUCUUUUCCGCAUGAGGAAUAAGCCUAGGAGGGAAUGCCUGGGUGAUGACGUUAGUGCGGGAAUAAGCCCCGGCUAAUUACGUGCCAGCCGCCGCCGUAA